CAGAGCCUGUGUGUGCCCUCAGAAAAUGGAAGGCUCUGGCUGGAGCUUGAGCAGAGACAUUCCGCUGGGCCUGGUGCUGAGAGGAAUGGAUUCCCACCUCAGGAGUGACAGGCUUCAGCCCUGCUCAAGGGUUCAGACCCAUCCUCAGAGCCCUGUGGGUUGAUCUGGGCACAGAUUUUACAAGAACCACUCUGUUCCUGGCGGGUUUCUGUCACUUUGUUUUCUUGUGUGCUCGGUGGCUUGUUCCUAACUCACAGCCAAUCACCGCACGGCCAGAUGGUGCGAAAGAUUUACCGGAAUUUCGUUUUCAAAUAAACCACAAGCUUGGAUGAUCUAAUGCUGUUCCACAUAAAAAAGCCACAAAACUGGACAAAUCAGCGCUGUUUCAAGAAAAGAACCUUGUCGAAGCCAUUGGCUUCGCCCAUCUCAAAUGACAGCCCUGAGACCUACAAGCAAGGGGUCCUUCCUGGAGGAGCCCAGCACACAAAGGACCAGGAAGCCCCUAGCCUGGUCAGCUAAAAUGUCUCUGCCAAGUUCACAUCCACACACUGAGCACCCAGGGAUGUCAAUACUCCCUUCCAUCCUGUCAGCACCAGGUUCCUUCACAGAUGCUGACUGGCUGCCUGGACUCGGGCACUGACCCAGAAGGCCCUCCGUGGCAGCUCAGCAGACAUGAACAGUGCAGGGAGAGUAGCCGACCUCACUCCCACAGCAGGGACAGGACACCUCAGAGAGUGCUCUCAAGACCAGCCCUAGACUACAUGUAACACAGCUCUGGGGUCCCAAACAGAACAGGCUUCUCCCAGUCUUCAGAUGGAGACAGCGGUGAACCAAUGGCACAGUCAUAAGAUAAGACCUGAGCAUGGAUCAAGUCCUACAGUGCACAGGGAGCACUUCCUACAGGGUGUGCGUGCCUGUCCGAGGGCCUCUGGAGGACAGAGCUGACUUUCCUUCCACCGUGACAGUUAAUGACAUCAACUGGGCGGGCUGUGGAAUCACCUGGGAGACAGGCCUGCAGGACUGAACACAGGCCAUCAGUAGAAGCAGCAAGAAGAGACCUUUCACAAAUGACUCCAUCUCUCACGUGAACGGACUUGCCCACAGACAGCCCGCCUCCUUUCCCUGAUGGACGGAUGUCCCCUGCCGCCGGGAAAAUGGCAACGACCUCACCCUUCUUGACUUUCGGAAGGAGGAAGAUGAGAAUGGAAACAGUGCCUAUCUCACAGGGCUGUUGCCGGGAUGAGAUGAUCAGUGCUUGCCAUGAACCUGGAAUAAUGCCCAGCAUGGAAUUACUACAUUGACUCUUGCUAAAUGAUUAAAGUAACAUCUUUG
rnacentral:lncRNA from 1 species